GCACAUCAGCUGUCUUUUCCUGCUUGGAGAAAGCCUGGCUGCAGCCGGAGGAAGGAAGGCCAACCCUUGGAAGGGAAGUAGAGUCAAGAGCAGCAAAUUCUGAGUCUCCUAGUGAGGUGGUUUGAGCCCCUGAAUUCGGUCAUCUCUGAAGACAGCUGUACCCAUGGAUGUCCCAGUUAUAAACUUUAUUGCUUUGCCUUUCAACCCUGCAAACCACCAGCAUUGAUUUCGGGGUAUGAUGUGAAGUAGGGAUCAAGCUUCUUUAUACCCCAUGCUUAUCCCCAGUGGUCUUGUCAUCAUUGAUUGAAAAGGCCAUCUUUUCCUCGACGCCAUGCAUUGUCAUCUUUGUCAAUAAUUAAAUGUCCAUAAAGACAAAGUUUUGUUCCAUGGCCCAAGCUGGAGUGCAGUACCAUGAUCUUGGCUCACUGCAACCUCUGCCUCCCAGGUUCAAGCAAUUCUCCUGCCUCAGACUCCAGAGUAACUAGGAUUGCAGGCACCUGUCAUCACACCCAGGUCCCUUUUGACAGCUGGACACAUGGAUGGCUGAGACUGCACACAGUGCUUCUCAUACGUUUUCAGAAACUUGAAGAAUCAAAACGAUGGGCAGGGUGCCCCUUCAGAUCUUUGCUUUCCUUCGUUUGCUCUUGGCAUUGUUUUAUAGUGUUAGAUUUCACUUGGAUUCUGAAAACAGUAACUUGCCCUGAAACUGAAUAUGCAGGUGUCUCUUUAAGGAGCAGAACAUACUUCUUCCACUGAAAACACCAGGACAAAUAUUGCUGCAUAUCCUGCUUUGAGAAUCUUGAAGCGCUUCAUUUAUCUUAAAAUGGGACUAAGGAGUCAAAAUGGCGACCACUGAAAGGAACUGUUCUAUUUCCCUAUUCAUGGGUCUAUGUCCUUCUUUUAGACUCUUCAAAAUUGAGGCAGUACCCACUGGAACUCAGUUACAAUGGAAUGCAAUUAACACUAAUACUGGUUACUAAAAAUUACCAAGAACAUACUGACUUUUAAAUGGCAUAGUUCCCUUUACAGACACAAUUCUUGCCAGAUAGUCAUAUAUCACAGUGGUUAAGAACGUGGACUUUGGAGUUGAGUGGUCUGGACUUUAGUGUUUUCUCUAUCUCUUGACCCCCUGGGUAGCCUUAGAUAAAUUAUGAAGCCUCUUCAAGUGACCAUUUUUCCAUCUGUAAAAUGGAUUAUGGGCCAGAGUGAUGUUUUUGAAAUGUAAAUCAGGUCAUAUGACUCUUCUGCUUAAAACUCUUCAAUGGCCUCCCACUACAUUUAUCUUUAUUGAAUUUAUUAUAUGCUUAUUUCACCAGUUAUUAAGAGGUAUGUAAAUGUGAAUUUGUCUAUCUCUGCUACUAAUUCUUCCAACUUUUGUUUUAUAUAUUUUGAAGCAGUGUUAUUAGGUGCCUCUACAUUCAGAACUGAUAAAUCUUCCUGGGGAAUCUACUGUUUUGUUAUUAUUUAAUAUUUCUGUUUAUCUCUAGUAAUGCUUUUGCUUUCAAGCCACAGUUCCCAAACUGCACUGAGGUGCUUCGGGGCACUGCCACGGAUUUACAGGGCACUAUAAGAUAAUUUAAAAUUUCAAGAGAAAGCCAGCAACAUCGGAUAGAUGCCAUGUGAAUUAUUAGCUGGAAGUAUUUUACAAUUUUUCUUUUUCUUUUUUUUUGUACUUUAGGUUCUGGGUACAUGUGCUGAUCAUGCAGGAUUGUUGCAUAGGUACAUACAUGGCAAGGUGGUUUGCUGCCUUCCUCCUCUCAUCACCUGUAUCUGGUAUUUCUCCCCUUGUUAUCCCUCCCCACCCUCCCCACCCCCCACUGUCCCUCCCUUAGCCCUCCCAACUGACUGCAGUAUGUGAUGCUCCCCUCCCUGUGUCCACGUGUUCUAAUUAUUCAACACACGCCUAUGAGUGAUAAUAUGCAGUGUUUGGUUUUACAAUUUCAAAUUAGAUCACAGUUGUAUUAGUAUCAUAUUUUUACAUAGCAAAUAAGCCCAUCAUGGGUGAAAAGCAUUCUAGAAAGGGGAAUGAACCAGUAAAAUGCAGAGACAUUCAGAUACUAGGGUAAGGGAAAUCACAGUAUCAUAGUUCUGGUUGGGACUUUACACAUUAUCUAACUCAGAACACUGGGUGCUAAAACCAGAAAAUCAUGAGGCAAACCAGGAUCACUGUUAACUCUAGCAGUCCUCUUUCAGUCACGGCCAUCACCCCUGUGUCCCCUCACAAGGCUGUGCUCCAGGCUGCUGCUGCAGAGCAACCGGACUUGGCAGCUAUAGAAAACCGUUUCUUGGGCGAGUUCAAUCUUUUUUUUUUUUUUUUCUGUAGAGGCAGGAUCUCACUCUGUUGCCCAGGCUAGAAUGCAGAGGUACAAUCACAGCUCACUGUAACCUUGAUCU
rnacentral:lncRNA from 1 species